GACGAACGCUGGCGGCGUGCCUAAUACAUGCAAGUAGAACGCACAGUUUAUGCCGUAGCUUGCUACACCAUAGACUGUGAGUUGCGAACGGGUGAGUAACGCGUAGGUAACCUGCCUGGUAGCGGGGGAUAACUAUUGGAAACGAUAGCUAAUACCGCAUAAUAUUAAUUAUUGCAUGAUAAUUAAUUGAAAGGUGCAAUUGCACCACUACCAGAUGGACCUGCGUUGUAUUAGCUAGUAGGUGAGGUAACGGCUCACCUAGGCGACGAUACAUAGCCGACCUGAGAGGGUGAUCGGCCACACUGGGACUGAGACACGGCCCAGACUCCUACGGGAGGCAGCAGUAGGGAAUCUUCGGCAAUGGACGAAAGUCUGACCGAGCAACGCCGCGUGAGUGAAGAAGGGUUUCGGAUCGUAAAGCUCUGUUGUAAGAGAAGAACGGGUGUGAGAGUGGAAAGUUCACACUGUGACGGUAUCUUACCAGAAAGGGACGGCUAACUACGUG
rnacentral:rRNA from 1 species